rnacentral:piRNA from 1 species
UCUUCCUCAAGGAGCUGUGGAAGCUGUGC